CCUACGGGAGGCUGCAGUAGGGAAUAUUGCUCAAUGGGGGAAACCCUGAAGCAGCCACGCCGCGUGGAGGAUGAAGGUUUUAUGAUUUUAAACUCCUUUUGUUAGAGAAGAUUAUGACGGUAUCUGUCGACUCCGCACCGGCUCACUCCGUGCCAGCCGCCGCUGUCCUACGGAGGGUGCAAGCGUUACUCGGAAUUACUGGGCGUAACGGGUGCGUAGGCGGGGUAAUAAGUCAGCUGUGAAAUCCUGUAGCUUAACUACAGAAGUGCCUUUGAAACUGUUACUCUGGAGUGUGGGAGAGGUAGGUGGAAUUCUUGGUGUAGGGGUAAAAUCCGUAGAGAUCAAGAGGAAUACUCAUUGCGAAGGCGACAUGCUGGAACAUUACUGACGCUGAUGCACGAAAGCGUGGGGAGCAAACAGGAUUAGAUACCCCUGUAGUC
rnacentral:rRNA from 1 species